CGGCAGGCCUAACACAUGCAAGUCGAGCGGCAGCACAGAGGAACUUGUUCCUUGGGUGGCGAGCGGCGGACGGGUGAGUAAUGCCUGGGAAAUUGCCCUGAUGUGGGGGAUAACCAUUGGAAACGAUGGCUAAUACCGCAUGAUGCCUACGGGCCAAAGAGGGGGACCUUCGGGCCUCUCGCGUCAGGAUAUGCCCAGGUGGGAUUAGCUAGUUGGUGAGGUAAUGGCUCACCAAGGCGACGAUCCCUAGCUGGUCUGAGAGGAUGAUCAGCCACACUGGAACUGAGACACGGUCCAGACUCCUACGGGAGGCAGCAGUGGGGAAUAUUGCACAAUGGGCGCAAGCCUGAUGCAGCCAUGCCGCGUGUAUGAAGAAGGCCUUCGGGUUGUAAAGUACUUUCAGUCGUGAGGAAGGUUGUAGUGUGAAUAGCACUAUGAUUUGACGUUAGCGACAGAAGAAGCACCGGCUAACUCCGUGCCAGCAGCCGCGGUAAUACGGAGGGUGCGAGCGUUAAUCGGAAUUACUGGGCGUAAAGCGCAUGCAGGUGGUUUGUUAAGUCAGAUGUGAAAGCCCUGGGCUCAACCUAGGAGUUGCAUUUGAAACUGACAAGCUAGAGUACUGUAGAGG
rnacentral:rRNA from 1 species